rnacentral:tRNA from 1 species
CGGAUGUAACUCAGUGGCAGAGUGCCAGCUUCCCAAGCUGGUUAUGCGGGUUCGAUUCCCGUCAUCCG